GUCUUCGUGGCGCAAUCGGUCAGCGCGUUCAGCUGUUAACCGAAAGGUUGGUGGUUCAAGCGCACCCGGGGACG
rnacentral:tRNA from 1 species